GUCUACGGCCAUACCACCCUGAACGCGCCCGAUCUCGUCUGAUCUCGGAAGCUAAGCAGGGUCGGGCCUGGUUAGUACUUGGAUGGGAGACCACAAAAAUAACCUGUAUAGUAUGGU
rnacentral:rRNA from 1 species